rnacentral:rRNA from 1 species
GUGCCAGCAGCCGCGGUAAUACGUAGGGUGCGAGCGUUGUCCGGAAUUACUGGGCGUAAAGAGCUCGUAGGCGGUUUGUCACGUCGUCUGUGAAAUCCUAGGGCUUAACCCUGGACGUGCAGGCGAUACGGGCUGACUUGAGUACUACAGGGGAGACUGGAAUUUCUGGUGUAGCGGUGGAAUGCACAGAUAUCAGGAAGAACACCGAUGGCGAAGGCAGGUCUCUGGGUAGUAACUGACGCUGAGGAGCGAAAGCAUGGGUAGCGAACAGGAUUAGAUACCCUUGUAGUCC